rnacentral:rRNA from 1 species
UACGAAGGGGGCUAGCGUUGCUCGGAAUCACUGGGCGUAAAGCGCACGUAGGCGGAUCUUUAAGUCAGGGGUGAAAUCCCAAGGCUCAACCUUGGAACUGCCUUUGAUACUGGGGAUCUCGAGUCCGGAAGAGGUGAGUGGAACUGCGAGUGUAGAGGUGAAAUUCGUAGAUAUUCGCAAGAACACCAGUGGCGAAGGCGGCUCACUGGUCCGGUACUGACGCUGAGGUGCGAAAGCGUGGGGAGCAAACAGG